GACGAACGCUGGCGGCGUGCCUAAUACAUGCAAGUUGAGCGCUGAAGGUUGGUACUUGUACCAACUGGAUGAGCAGCGAACGGGUGAGUAACGCGUGGGGAAUCUGCCUUUGAGCGGGGGACAACAUUUGGAAACGAAUGCUAAUACCGCAUAAAAACUUUAAACACAAGUUUUAAGUUUGAAAGAUGCAAUUGCAUCACUCAAAGAUGAUCCCGCGUUGUAUUAGCUAGUUGGUGAGGUAAAGGCUCACCAAGGCGAUGAUACAUAGCCGACCUGAGAGGGUGAUCGGCCACAUUGGGACUGAGACACGGCCCAAACUCCUACGGGAGGCAGCAGUAGGGAAUCUUCGGCAAUGGACGAAAGUCUGACCGAGCAACGCCGCGGGAGUGAAGAAGGGUGUCGGAUCGUAAAACUCUGUUGGUAGAGAAGAACGUUGGUGAGAGUGGAAAGCUCAUAAAGUGACGGUAACUACCCAGAAAGGGACGGCUAACUACGUG
rnacentral:rRNA from 1 species